rnacentral:rRNA from 1 species
UUCCAGACUCCUACGGGAGGCAGCAGUGGGGGAUAUUGCACAAUGGGGGGAACCCUGAUGCAGCGACGCCGCGUGAAGGAAGAAGUAUCUCGGUAUGUAAACUUCUAUCAGCAGGGAAGAAAAUGACGGUACCUGACUAAGAAGCCCCGGCUAACUACGUGCCAGCAGCCGCGGUAAUACGUAGGGGGCAAGCGUUAUCCGGAUUUACUGGGUGUAAAGGGAGCGUAGGCGGCAGUGCAAGUCAGAAGUGAAAGCCCGGGGCUCAACUCCGGGACUGCAUUUGGAACUGCGUGGCUUGAGUGUCGGAGAGGCAGGCGGAAUUCCUAGUGUAGCGGUGAAAUGCGUAGAUAUUAGGAGGAACACCAGUGGCGAAGGCGGCCUGCUGGACGAUGACUGACGUUGAGGCUCGAAAGCGUGGGGAGCAAACAGGAUUAGAUACCCCAGUAC